rnacentral:rRNA from 1 species
CCUACGGGAGACAGCAGUGGGGGAUAUUGCACAAUGGGCGAAAGCCUGAUGCAGCGACGCCGCGUGAGGGAUGAAGUAUUUCGGUAUGUAAACUUCUAUCAGCAGGGAAGAAAAUGACGGUACCUGACUAAGAAGCCCCGGCUAACUACGUGCCAGCAGCCGCGGUAAUACGUAGGGGGCAAGCGUUAUCCGGAUUUACUGGGUGUAAAGGGAGCGUAGACGGCGAUGCAAGCCAGGGGUGAAAGCCCGGGGCCCAACCCCGGGACUGCAUUUGGAACUGUGUGGCUGGAGUGUAGGAGGGGCAGGCGGAAUUCCUGGUGUAGCGGUGAAAUGCGUAGAUAUUAGGAGGAACACCGGUGGCGAAGGCGGCUUGCUGGACGGAAACUGACGUUGAGGCUCGAAAGCGUGGGGAGCAAACAGGAUUAGAUACCCCGGUAGUC